AUGAGCUAUUCACCGAGCACUGAAAACUGAAGGGACCUUUCGAAACAACUUCGCAGGAGUCAUUUCGGAAGUACUGCGAAGAAGAAAGCAUGCAGCUGAAAGUUAUACUCGUGGGCUUGACCAUCUUCGGUCUCAUUGUUGCAGAGACCGGUGCCAUGCCUGCCAGCAACAGUGCCACUGAGGCCGAAGCCAGGGCUGAGCCACAGUCUGCUGCACGCGCAGAGGAAAGCAGUGCUGAGGCGGCACGCAUCAGCGAGGCAUGCAUGGCAUCACUGUGCGGGUAGCAACCUGACGCAAGGAAUUGGCACGUUUGAACGAACGUCUCUCGCACGACGCGAAUGAAUGCCUUGAAAAAAGUUCAUGCGUAGUCCAGGGCUCUGUGCCAUAUAUCAGUGCUGAAUAUCUAGACUUGUGAAUCGCUGCACAAACGCAUAGUAGCAUUGAAUAAAAUUUAUUUUC
rnacentral:lncRNA from 1 species